UUAACAGCUUUUUGUCCAUUCAUUAAACCCUUCAAAUCCAUCCAAAAUCUACAGUCUGAGCUGUCUUAAGCUUACUCACUACCUUCUAUUUAUGUACAAAUCUUUCUCACAUGCCUUAUAUUUUGGUGAUAAUCAGUUUAUGUAAAAAGUGACUCAUGUUAAAUAUGUUGUUAAGGUGAUGAGAAGAUUGGGAAUUUUGAUCUUUAACUUUUGCUGCUUUAGUGUGUCCUUGCAGAUCUAACAAGAGUAUUGCACCAUUGUGUCCAAGAAGUUCAGAAUGGAAUUGAAACUCAGGUAAAAGUUUAACGCUUUACAAUAUUUGUUCAUAUCAGUUAAAGAUUAUUUUUGCCAAUUUAUGUUAUUUUUUGCCAAUUUAAAGUUAAAAAAAAAUGUGAUGGA
rnacentral:misc_RNA from 1 species